rnacentral:antisense_RNA from 1 species
CUUGAGCGAGCCCAGCCACAGCGGCUCGGCACGGUCCUGGCCAUAGGUCGCGAGCAGCGCCUGCGCCUC